UACCAGCACCCCGAGUGGUCGGGACGUUUAUUGGGCCUAAAGCAUCCGUAGCCGGUUCUACAAGUCUUCCGUUAAAUCCACCUGCUUAACAGAUGGGCUGCGGAAGAUACUAUAGAGCUAGGAGGCAGGAGAGGCAAGCGGUACUCAGUGGGUAGGGGUAAAAUCCGUUGAUCCAUUGAAGACCACCAGUGGCGAAGGCGGCUUGCCAGAAUGCGCUCGACGGUGAGGGAUGAAAGCUGGGGGAGCAACCAGGGAU
rnacentral:rRNA from 1 species